rnacentral:rRNA from 1 species
AGUUCGGAUUGUAGUCCGCAACCCGACUACAUGAGGCUGGAAUCGCUAGUAAUCGCAGGUCAGCAUACUGCGGUGAAUACGUUCCCGGGUCUUGUACACACCGCCCGUCACACCAUGGGAGCCGGAAAUGCCCCGAAGCCAGUGACCCAACCUUAGGGAGGGAGCUGUCGAAGGUGGAGCCGGUAACUGGGGGUGAAGUCGUAACAAGGUAGC